CCUACGGGUGGCAGCAGUGAGGAAUAUUGGUCAAUGGGCGCGAGCCUGAACCAGCCAAGUAGCGUGAAGGAUGACUGCCCUACGGGUUGUAAACUUCUUUUAUAAAGGAAUAAAGUGAGGCACGUGUGCCUUUUUGUAUGGACGUUAUGAAUAAGGAUGGGCUAACUCCGUGCCAGCAGCCGCGGUAAUACGGAGGAUCCUAGCGUUCUCCGGAUUUAUUGGGUUUAAAGGGAGCGUAGAUGGGUUUUUAAGUCAGUUGUGAAAGUUUGCGGCUCAACCGUAAAAUUGCAAUUGAUACUGGCAGUCUUGAGUACAGUUGCGGUAGUCGGACUUCGUGGUGUAGCUGUGCACUGCUU
rnacentral:rRNA from 1 species